rnacentral:rRNA from 1 species
UACGUAGGGUGCGAGCGUUAAUCGGAAUUACUGGGCGUAAAGUGUGCGCAGGUGGCUGAGCAAGUCGGGUGUGAAAGCCCCGGGCUCAACCUGGGAAUUGCAUUCGAGACUGAAUAGCUAGGGUACGGUAGAGGGAAGCGGAAUUUCCGGUGUAGCGGUGAAAUGCGUAGAUAUCGGAAGGAACAUCAGUGGCGAAAGCGGCUUCCUGGACCAGUACCGACGUUCAGGCACGAAAGCGUGGGGAGCAAACAGG